rnacentral:tRNA from 1 species
GCCUGAGUAGCUGAGUUGGUUGAGCAUCUGACUUUGGCUCAGGUCAUGAUCUCAUGGUUUGUGGGUUCGAGCCCCAAGUUGGGCU